UCUUACAAGAGCUUUUUUCAGUUGGAUUAGCUCUGUUCUCAUGGCUAGUAUGACAAAGAGGUCCCAUAUUACAAGGAAAGUUUCACCAACUGCUGUUGCAGAUGGACGACUAAAUGAAACGUAUGUACUAGUUCCGUGCAAUUGGUUGUGGACCACAGGAGGAUAGUGGCACACGUCGGUGAAGCAGGUCAGCGUGGGAACACGGGUGCAGGCUGUGUAUGCAUUGCCUCACCUGUAAUGGGAGAGUGGGAGGAUAACAUGACCUCUGUGGCUCCCGGAGAAGACCAGAGAUGUGGCAUUGCAUCUGUUGGCGGUGUACAUACUUGCCUGUUCUCAAAAGCAGGGUUUUGUCCCAGACCGAGGGACUAAUGAUGUCUAUGAGCUGAGAGACCUCACUGGGAUGAGGCAUUCAGACAGCAUGACGGCAUACAGAAGGGAGCCAAGAAACCAGAGAGCAGACAACAAGUUGCAAGCCUGAGGACCACCUUGGCAACUAAGUCAGAAGGCGAAAUAAAACCACAACACUGGGUCUCGGCUCCAAAGGACUCGGGCUGUGAUCACGAGGGGAGAGGGAACACAGGGAGAUGCAGCUCCACGUGCAACCGAAGGGAACUUUGCCUGAUGAAGGAAAAAGGACUGCACUUCGCUUCACACGUUUGGUCAAAAAGUAUGGACCACUGAUUGACAAAGUGCACAAUCAACAGAC